AAACUCGAUUGUAAAAUCAUGGUUCUGGAACAGUUUUACUUCUCGUUCGUUUUGAUGUGCUUUCAACUGCUGAGGAGCGACAUAAAUGUGAUGGGCGAAAGAAGGUGGACACGACAGAGAAGAAUAAGCGCUGGAAAGAGAUUUACGGAAUACAUACCCUCUUAUUAUAUCGAACUCCUUAAGCACAAGAUCUGGAAACACAAAGGUUAUUAAUUUCGUUUUUUUGGUCAAUGGAUAAUUGAGACCCGGAGAGACGUUACCAAUGACUUGUGGAGUUUAUUACUAAUAUCGUCAAGAAUAUCCAUUUAUUUAAUAGUGGGCGAGUGUAAAAUUUAACUUGUUAUGCAGUAAUUGAGGAGUGGUAGCGCGUAAAGUGACACCUAAUAAUAGAAGAUAUUCGUACUUCCAGACAAAUGUCAUCCGUCGUCUGGUUUAUUCUCUUUACUUUGUGGGUGAUGGAGAAAGAGCUAAAAUAUUCAAAAUUAAAUUUUGAGUUCAACCUGCAGACGGGCCGGCCAGUUUGCAUGUCCUUCACUCUUGAACGUCGCGGGUAACAUUACGUAAAACUGUCAAUGCGGCGG